UCCAUCGUGAGGUGGAAUCUGAAGGAAGCCGGAUGUGGGGAACCUACUAACCCACGGGCAAACCUCUGGUCUGACGGACAGAAAUCGUAUAGAAGGCUGUGCAUGAGGGUAAGUCUGCCAUACAAGAUGAAGCCCGAUAGCUACACGGAAUCAUGUGCAGUAAAUGCGGCAGAUGGAUGGAGGGAAAGAAACGUGUG
rfam:Eubacteriaceae bacterium CHKCI004 isolate CHKC4 genome assembly, contig: {contig63}